rnacentral:ncRNA from 1 species
GACAGGGGUGCCGUCUAUGGCGGCUGAGAUCAUACCCUUUAACCUGAUCCGGUUCGUACCGGCGUAGGGAGUUGGCU